GCAAAUAAAAAUGGUAACCCUUGCUGGAGCGAAAGCUGUUUACCACAGUGCUGUGUGCUUGCAGCUGUCAAGGACUCCCUGCUUCCUACCUGUGGAAGGGUAAAUGACAAACCUUGGUACCAAACCCACAGUCUCUAAGCAGCAGGAAAAUGGCUUUAAUGAAUACUUCAAGCACUUUGUAACACCGGAAGUGACAACAAGAAGAGAGAGAAGCUGACUGUACAGAAAUAAAAGCCAGGCUACAACUAAAGGUUUUUGGUAGUCCCCGAAGUAAUCCUUCAUCCGUGUGAAAGUGGAAUGCUAAAAGAACAAGUUGACAACAGCACCAGAAAAUAAGGUGAAAAUAUGUCACCAUUUAGUGAGUACAACCUGAUAACAGACCAACAUAACAGACCACGUGAGAGGAGAAAAAGCAGUCUUCAGCUGUGAGCUGUGUACGUACACCUCACUCAAGAGAUCGAGUCGGAACUGUCACAGGAAAAUCCAUUCUGAAGAAAAAUGUCACGUGUCUCAAGGCUUUUCAAACAGCUGCUCUCCUGCAGAACCACGUGAAUGUCCAUACAGCAGCGUGGUGUGCACAAGCAUCCUGAAAACUGUGGAUUGGUGAGGGCCAAAACUGCUACGCCCAGAAAAAGAAGCAAGGACAGAAGGAAAGAAAGUGAGAAUGAAAAGCAUGCUAAGCAAGAAGAUGUCUCUACUGUGAAGAGUGAACAUUGUGCCAGAGAGAUUGCUCCUCAUUUAGAAGGAACAGAGGGAACAGCUUUGAAAGCAGAAGACAGAAGCACCUUGUGAGAUGGCUGUGAUGGACUGACAUCUGAAGGUUAUUGGGAAGCUUCACCUCUUUUAUUCCAUUCACACAACAGAACGAAGAAAAUGAGCUAAAUUUGAAAGCUUGCUGUUGGUUGGACUUCUCAGCUUGUUGCCCAUCCUUCCCAACACCAGAUGUUAGGAAACAUGUGACAGCAGCAUGGUUUGGACUGAAUGUAGCAGCAUGGCUCAAUCAGUCAAUAAGGAAAGGAAGAACAAACACUCAUCAAAUUCAAUGUUGAUAUGGAUAUCUUUACUUGAAAUGGUGGUGAUGCUGCUGGAAUCUGCUGAGAAGCAUCGCCUUGAGGCUGACUCCUCCACACCUGUGGAGUGUCAGGGCCAACCAUUGCCCAUGCUGGUGAGCUUUGGGGAGGAGCAGGUCAGACAGAGCCACAGCACUCUAUUACAGAAGCCUCGUGACCAAGACAGAUGCCAGUAGCUGGAACCUUGGCAAACUAAAUAAAAAAGAAAAGAAGUGGAACUCUAUUCGUCUCUCAUGUACUGAUUGCUCCCUCGUGUGACACUUCUAAAUGUAAGUGAAAAGGAACAAGUCCUUCAUCCUACACCUCUGAAUUCUGGCACGGGUUUGGUUUGUGGUGUGACCUGUUGAGAAGCCUCCUGCUGGCUCUCCGUGUGCUGCAGUGUCCUUACCCAUGGCAUGCAGUCUCUGUAUGCUUUAGAAUUAAACAAAUGAGAAAGUUGUGCAGCUUAAACCCUCUUCCAAACCUCAGUAAUUGUCUUCCCCCCCCACCCAGUUUCAGAAAACACAAAUCCAUCCCAUGCUGCUCUCACAGUUACUGCUGGUUUAUAUCUGGGCAGAAGCAAUUGGUGCAAGAAGCAUUGCUUAUAGGACAGUGCCUAAAAAUACUUCCAAAGGUCACUGCACAUCAGACAGCAGGCAGUGCUUGUUCCAGCGAAUCGCCCUGAGAACUGCAGGUCUUUGUUAAUGUUAAUUGUGUAUAUUUUAAACAACCCAUGUUUUAAAAACAGUGCAAACAGGAGGCAGUAAUGCUUGGUGAGCCCUGAGGAAUGGAGGGCGCUUCCUCACCCAUGGUUUUGGGCACAGAGGUUUGCUGUUCUUGAUAACUUCAAGGUUUGUCAAUUAGAGCCGUGUUAUGCAUAUGCUUGCAGAAAAGUGGGGGCAUUUCCAUGCUCACCGCUUUCAAGAAUACCAGUGAAGCAAUGACCCAGAAGUACCAUGAGGAUGUGUAGCUUGUCCUUUGCGCAGACAUUCACCAUGGCUGUGCUUAUAAUUGCAACCAUGGGCACUGAAUGUGAGAUAAAGGCCCAGCCCCAUGUGCUCUCAAGUAUUUCCCCAGAAACAGAUGUGUGCUGGGAGGUGUGAGUGAUGUGUGAAUAGUGCUGAAUGGGAUUGCUGUGCUCUUGGUCUGGGAUGAAGGCAUAUAUUUCCAGCAUCCCAGAAGGGCGACCUUGCAAUGGACCUCUUCUGUUUAUAUUUGACCACUCGAUUUCAUCUCUGCCCACCAAAUGCUUUUAUUCUGGAUUUGAGAAAGCACAGUUGCUUGGAUGGAUGCUGCAGAGUAUUUGGCACUUAUGGGUACGCUUUGUACAAGCAGCGUUCCCAGCAGGAUUCUGUGGGCUUUGUCCACCUCCCUGUGGCUGAGGUGGGAACACCCAGCGCUGUCUGCCCACUUCACAGUGCUCAUCUCUCUCUCUCUCUCUCUCUCUCCCAACCACAGAGUACAAUGACAAGCCUCCAGCUCAUUCCUGCUCUAGCUGCAAUGGGAGGGGAGGUGCUGGUUGCAGGGGGAGGUGCCCCCUCCUGGGCCCUCUCGGUUCCCAUCACUGGAUGUCCCCACCUCUGCUCCCAAGAGCAUUUUCCCUGUGAGGACCUGUCCCUGAGCAUCUCCCACCAGCAUCCCAUAGCUCUUAGGCAAGUAACACUCUUGCCUUUUUCUCAAAUACUAUUCAAACAUACAUUUUAUGUGGAGAUGCUGACGGACAACAACAUCUGCUCUCUCAGCUCAUGGGCUCUUAUUUGGAUUGUAAUUACUCCAUUGGCUGUGAUCUGUUCUCUGUUUGCCCACUAUCUGUUUCUGUCAGGUCUCAGUCUCCUACAAACCACCCAUUAUGUGGUGGUGAUAAUUAAAUCUCCCUGCUCCAGACCGGGCUGAGCAGCACAGGGAGGGCCUUCCUUGUCCUGACAGCUGCCAGAGCCACAGCCCCUAACGAUGCCCCGAUCACCUGCCUGCUCUGCAGGACAGGACACCUAUUUGUUCCAAACAAGCUCUUUCAGCAGCUGUCAGAUGCUAAUGGCUUUCAGCUGCUGCCAACCUGUGCCCUAUGCAAACCAGGGGCGCAUCAUGGAAAUGUGCGUAAAUAUUCAUGUGAGGCUGACAAAACCAGAAGUGCAAAUGCAGUUAUCGGAGCUCUUGCAUGAAUGUGCCAUAGCCUGCCCUGUUGUUUCGGUUUUAGUGUGAGGGACACAGUGCAAAUGUUCUGAAGUGAUGUUGCCCUUUUAUGUCUGUGAUUAAAAAAUCCGCUGAAGGCAGUGGGGAUGCAGAGGCACAUGGGUAAGAGCAAAUUUGGGUCCCUAUGUAAUGUGGGUGGUUCCGGACUGAUAAUGCUCUAUUCUGUGGGUUGCGUACUGAAAUUUUACUGAGAGAAAGGAGUUGCUUUGUUUAAUCGUGUCUGCAUUCUAUUAUGAAGAGCUGAAGGUGUCUCAGCAGAAUGUGAGAGCCCAGUGACUGUGUUCGGUGCUUCAGUGUUUGAUUCAGCCAUUCCCAGCACAGCGGACUGCACGACUGGGUGAGGACUUGACAAUCUCCCCCAUCGCAGCUCCCUCGAGCACCAAAGUUUUGACACACACACGUGAGCUGUGCAAACUCUAUUACAAUUUAAUUCUAUCAGUGGUUCUGCAGGGGGACUGCAUUAAAAUACUUUGUUAGCUGUGCACCUUUGCUUUCCCCAGCAAGUCCUGGAUAACUGUGCUGAGAAGGUGCGUUCGUGCAAAGUUCCCAUUAAAACUCAUUAAAAAUUGCCAUCUGUGGCACUGCAUGAAAGGGGGUUGAGGGCAGGGGCUGAGUCCUGGGUGGCACUGACCCCGUGAGGAGCGCUCCUUGGGUUUCUGCAGGCGAGGCAGGCUCUGUGCAGGCACCCAGCUGGCAACUGUCCUCUAUCACUUGUGUACCUGCAUUUCUGGGAUAGAUAGGCCCUGCGAAAAUGAAGUUAAUUCAGUGUUUCAGAUAUAGACCGUUAUUUUAAUUAAAAAUAGUAUUAUGAUAGUUAUGCAAAAUGGUUCAAAUAUUCUGCAGCUUGAUAUAAUAAAAAUUAGAAGAUACAGGUGUUGUUUCUGAGCCAUCAGAUUUCCACUGCCACAGUGCUUUGGUAAAAUGAAAAGGAGAAGCAGAGCCAUGUGCUAAUCCCUUCCUUUGUUGCUUAAGGGAGAUUUCAGUAUAGAGUACCAAUUUCCAUAUCAUUUGAAUAGCAGUUGCAGCCCAUUGGUGUUUAAAGUGAAAUGUGCAACUACUAUAAUCAGCAAAACAGAUGCAAAUGCCUUGUCUGUCUUUAAAUGCAGUCCCCUCCUUGCUGUUUCAAUUAGAUUUAGCAUGGAAAACUUGAUCAGAUAAUUAAAAACAAGAGCUAUUCUUCCACUUCUCAUAGCAGUAGCUGCUCCUUCAGAGGCAGCUCUGGGUGUGGGGCAGCCACCCUCCCCUCCCUGAGACAGCAGUGCCCUUCCAGUUCUGCUUAUGCCCAGCAGCUCCCACAGCAAGUGUCUGCGUGUCUGUGCAAGGAAGUGACACACAAAUAAGUGCCAUUCAGCAGUUUGAUCCCAGGCAGUGGUUGUGUGUGAGGGGGACUGCACGGCAGGAUGAAGUCCCACGGAGCCCCCUGAGCCCAGCUCUGGGCAGCUGCAGUCCAUCCCCAGAGGGUUUUUUAGCUCUGAAAAGAAACAUGGUAUGAAGAAAGGGUUUACUUUAUCCUUCAUGUUUCUGAAUGAAAUCAUGAGCACGUGGUGUGUCAGCUCCAGAAGGCUAAUUUCAUCUUCUCCAUGUGGUAGGAGAGCAGGGGUGGGCGAUGCCUCCAAACAGGUUGCUGACAGAACGAAAAGCCCUGGUUUGCUUCCUCCAAAAUGCUCUUCUGGGGAAAGGAUGUAAUUGUUGUUGUUGUUAUUUUUACUUUUCCUAACCAAGAGAUGCCUUAUGGAAAAGGAUUCCCACCUCGUGACCAGCUGCGGUGAUGAAACCCUCCUGGGACACUCAGGGCAGACCGGGAUGCUUUCAGCAAGAAGCAAUGCUCAUCUGUUGUGCUCACGUGUGAGUGGUGAAGGCCACACUAAUGCCGUGCCAGCCUGGUAGGAUGCGAAACAAAAUGUGUCAGGGUUGGUCCCUUCAGGGGAGCACCCCUGGAACAGCAGAGAGCCAGAGGGAGUGGGACACAGGCUGUCCAUUACAGGGCACCCAGCUCUGAUGUGCAGCUCAGGCAGCCACAUACAGGGGCACAGAAUGGUGCAGCCUUAGCAGAAGCGGGCUGCUGCUGCUCCUGAACUUCUGGGAAGGUUUGAGCCCAGUAUUGUUGCUCAGGUUGUUUUCUGUUCCAGGAUGCCUCCUGUGCUUGCUACAGUGGCAUUAUAAAUUCAUGCCUGUAUUUUUUUUUCUCCAGGAAAAAAUGUGAAGCUCAUGCUCUAAUCUAGAAAUAGUAAAGCGCUGCAGGGUUCAGUGCUGGAGUUCACUGGAAAAUCUAUUUGCUUUACUGGGAAAGGGUGGUGUUUUUUGUUUUUUAUUUUGUUUUUUGUUUUUUUUUAAUGUAUUACAAACAAAACAAAUUUGGAAAGCAUAUUUUAAAUACAGAGGCCUGAGAGCUGUGUGAGCUGAGGUUGGGGUCAGUGUGGUGGGAGCUCAGGUGCCCUUGGAACAGCCUCCGGUGUGCACAUGGACCGUACAGGGGAGGCUGUUAAAAAGGAAUAAUUCCGUUCUUUAAUUCUUACUUUCCAGUUAUAUUCUGUGAUGCCACCGCUGAUUACACUGAAGAUAUUCUGACUGCUGUCAGUGGAGUGAGAGGUGGACUGCGCCUGAAUGCUUGGAAGGACAGUUAAAUGUGAUCUCAAAUCAAAUUCUUAAGGACUUUAUGAGUUCCUUUUAUUUGGGGGCAUGUAACUAAAGGAGAUGUUCAGCAUGUUCCUUGGUGGGUGCCAGAAAGCUUAUUUUCAGAAGUAUCUGAGGCUCAGGGAAAGUCAACGACGGCUAUAUUUACCCUGAAGUCUGUGCAACUGCUGCCAAAAUCGAGCCAUGUUCUUUUUGUAGGAAUAACCAUGAGAAACAACAGCAUUUGGAGGAAGGACCGGGCACCAUACAUGUGACUUAUCUGACAUAGAAUGACGUAGAUGUCUUAAAUGGGGUCCAAUAGGCCACCUGAGGUUGUGCCUUGAGUGCUGUCAUCAGAAGGGCAGAUGGGAAAGGAGACAUUAACUCUCGGUGCUAUUGGUAGGCAUUGUUUCCACAGAAGCCCCCUCCCCUGUUUGGCCCGUGGCUGUGUCCUGGUGGAGCUGGGCCAGGCGUUGUGCCACUGUCUGCUGACAGGAUCCAAUUUCUUCUUAUGUGGAAAUAUAAAUCUUGGCCCUUCGAUCAUGUGAACCAUAAAAGAGGGAAACGCCUCUUCGUUUUACUUGAAAAAAGAAAAGUCGGAACUAUCCAGAACUGCUCGUUACAAAACAGUGACAGAAGAGCUUCCUUAAAUCAAACAGAGCUCUCAUUUUGCUGUUGGACCGUCCCACAGAGUGCUGCGUUCCCACCGUUUCUGCUCAGGGGAAGUGCUCUGUCAGCUCAGACCGUGAGCAGCUCUCCAGGGAGCACACAGCAGGGCUCAGGGCCUGGCGAGGAAAUGGGUUUCUGUGCUUUUGGGGUGCACCACAGGAAGGGGAGGAAUUACCCAGAGAGAGGAGGGGAGCGGCAGCUGACCAGCAACAAGCAGAGCAGCUGAGCCCUCGUGGCCAUGCCUCCAUGUCACCGUGCCCUGCUGCUGUGCCCCUCAGUGCCACGUCUCCCCUUGCUGGGCAGGCAGCCAGCUCAGUGCUGAAGGCAGGCAGGCUUCAGCCAAAGCUCUGCGGUGGGGAUUGUGGGGUGGUGGCAGCUCUGGAGGGGACCCCGUGGGGUUGGGAACCCUCUGGGCAGGCGCAGAGGAUCAUGAGACCCAGCAGGAAUGGCGGAGUGCAGCUGGAUGCACAGCAGGGUCUGGUGCAUGGAGGAGCUUCCAGCACCUCAAAGCUGGCAUUUCACCUGCCCCAAACCCCAGCUGUUUCUACAGGCCACGUUUGGUGUGAUUUAUAGCAGGUUUGGUUGUUCCACACUUGCCAAGCAGCGGGUAAGGUCUGUGGCAGCAGCCAGGCUCAGCAGCAGCCCAGCCACUGCUUCAUCACAGGUUGGUUAGCUUGCAGCCCGAGGCAAACCUGAAAUCAUUAACAGCCCAUUUGCUGGGCUAAUGACUCUUUUUUACUAGAUGUAUAAUUUAAUAUAUGGUAACUUUCAUGCUUAAUUACACUCUUCAAAGCUUCUUUUGAAGGAAUUUAUUUUUCUGCACGCAUUUAUUAAAAGGUGUUGGGAGCUGGCUGGCUUGCUUCCCUGAUAUCCUGCAUUAAAAACCAAAUCAUUUCUUUAAGGAGACUUUAAUUGAGAUAUGAGUAUUUCCUCCUCUGCAACUUCUCGCAAUAUUUUUAACCUCAAGUGUUGGGAAAAAAACAAAUAAGGGUGUAUUACCAAGAUGUUUCAAACAGCAUCGUUCUGUGCCCUACUGCAACCUGCCCCGUCGUUCUGCACACGGCGCAGACCCAAACCCUUCCCGCACAAUGCAAGGCUUGAGCUCAGCAGCCUGGCCCUGUUCCAGCCCAUUUCAUGUCUGACUCAGCAGUGAGUGCCCCUGCCGUGCUCUGUAACCUCAGUGGGAGCACAGAGAGGCUCCUGUAAGUGCUGUUAAUCCCACGUGCCAUUGGCAUGUGGCACUUGUAAGGCUUGCUGGGAUCAGUUUGGAUGAAAGAGGCUACGCAUGUAAGACGUUUUCCAUUGGCAUCCCAAAUCCGUUACUAUAUCAAUGAAAGAAGGGUAUGACUUUGUCGAUCGUGAUGCUUUUUUUGAGCUAGGCAGCUGAUCGAGGGGAUGGUCGUGAAUUUGGGUUUCUUUCUGUGAGCUCUACUGUCCCCUUCAUGGAGAUUAAAAAUUUCCCAGUACUGUUUUCAGCUCCGCAGAGCAAAUCAAAGAUAAUCUCCUGCUUGGAUAUCCUCACGCUAUUGCGAUCCACUAAUAGGAUCACCAUCCAGUUUUGACUUAACAGGCACCGGGAGAGGAUAAUCCUGUUUAUUCGGUCAUCCAAAGCACUGAUGAUCUGAGAUAAUCGGUGGCUGAGAGCAGCGAGGAGGGACGCGUGAGGUGCUCCGUGCCUGGAUGGAUGAGUCAGAUGCUCAGCACUGGGGAACGGACUGAGCUCACCCCUGCAGCCCCAACAGGGCGUGGAGAGCCCCAGCCAACCUCACAAAGAAGACAGAAAGUGGAGAAGCCAACCAGGUGUUCGGGGCCCUGCAGGUGGGAUAUUCAUGUAUGGCUGUUUGAUCAGCCCUGAAGGGCAGAGUUCUUGCUCUCCAACCUUCCUUCCUUUGCACCCUACAAGUCAGUGCUGAACACUGUGCUCCUCCUGAUGGUGCUUCAGGGCUCCUCGUGCAGAGCUCCAUGCUGCAGCACAGCCCUGAAGACAAGGGCACAUCUCUGCUGAAGGCACCGCUGCUGCACUUCGGCCACCAGGCUGAAGUAGUGGCUGCACUCCUCCGAAGGCACCACAGGUGUUGGCCCGCAGGGAGCAGCAGCAGAGCGGCACGGGGCUGCUUUCCUCCCGGAGCCCCUCGGGGCUGGCAGCGCCCAGGAAUGGAUCUGCAGACCCCCAGGAGGGAAGGCACGACCCCACCGACCUGAGGGCAUCACACCGUGCUGGGGAGUGAGCACAGCCGGGGCUGUCCGCGUGGCCACAUCUGAGCAGGGCGAGAUCUCGUGUGACAGCCACAGCCCUGCACAGCAGCAGCGUGGGACCAUCGGGAGAGCAGUGGCUGUGUGCCUUCACAAGUGCAUUCUGCAGCGUAAGCACGAGGCAGGAGCUGACAGCCCCACCUGCACUCACAUCUUGCUGGGCCUGAUGACAGCAUCUGUUGCAGGAAAUAUCGAGAGUGUGAUAUCAGUGGAGCUGGAUCCUUUGCUGAGGACUCUCCUGGUACCUCCACAGCCAUUCCUGGUGGGAAACCAGAGCCAACCCGUGCCCCACUUUUUGGUGUGCGUGCAGCACCCACCUGCUUUCUGCUGCCAUGAGAGCUUGAAGGAACAGGAGGAGAAACAUAUGGCAUAUGCCACCUCAGCUCCCAGGAGGUGUGGGGUUGUUGUCCUGGCAGCUGUUGGGGUAAUCCUUGUCCUUCUGUUUGUGUCCGUGUCUGAAAGGUAUGCCUGGAGCACCUGGGCACUACCUGCGAGCAGUGGGCUCUGCUCCUGGGUGGGGCCGAGUGCAGGAGCCUGGGGUUGGAGGUUGCUUUGGCCAAAGAAAGCCCAUUGUGAGAUGUGUUUUUGCUGUGCUGUCAUUGCUCACCAGCCUGGCCCCAUCCUGACCCCGCUGCAGCCAACAGGAAUGGUGUCGGUGGGACAGCAUCGCCUCCGCUUCCUUCGUUUGUUCCCUCCCAGACCCAUUCUGCCUGCCCCAAUCUCACUCUCUCUCUGCAUCGCCCACUCUGGGCACCAUCUGGUGGGGUUUGCUGUGUCUCAUCUCACCAACUGUCGUUUGUCCCGUGGCUGUGGUAGAAACGCGCUCGUAUUUUGCAUCAAAGGACCCCUAAACCAUUCACUGUGCGGGCCAGCCGGCCUGUCGGAGAGGAGCCAAGCUGUUGGCACUCAAUAAGCGACGAGCAUUAAUAAAAGCAUUACAGUGAGGUUAGUGCCUCAUUAAAGUGAUGCUAACGAACCGGCUGUCUUCCAGAAGUAUGAAAUUUUAACUAAGACUUCCUCCUUCUAAUUUUAUAUAUAAUUAAAUCGGUGUAGAGAGGCAAUAUUCACUUCUCCAGGCUGCUGCAUUAGAAGCCGAGCCAAAUUCACAGGAGUUGCUCUGGAAGUGUACCAGAGCUCGUGGAGCAGCCUGCAGCCGUGCAAGGCACGCAGGGCCGAGGUGCUGCAGCAGUGCUGUGGCUGUGCCCUCUGCUGCAGCACUGCCCAGGUUUGCUGCAGGCUGCGUCCGCCUGAGCUGCACCCCAACUCUGGACCCACAUCAUGCUGUGCUCCGGCUCUGGAGCAGCAGCCCCAGCCUGCAGGCAGCAAGCCAUUCGCUUGUAGAGAUGCUGAAAUCAAAGUAUAGCAGCUCGUGUCUUGCUGCUUCUGUUCUUUGACAGAUGUGCCAGGGAGGAAGCGUUCACACGGAGCCGAAGUGCCCUACAUCACACGAGCGGCUUCCAAGCUUUGCUGGGCAGCUCGUGCUGGGUGUGGGCUGGGAACUGUUGCAUCUUGGCCAAGCAUCUCCUACAGGGAGCAGCACAGAUCCGCACCGGAGGGGUUUUGCUCUGAGCCCUCCCACAGCCUCGAGUGCCCCUGGGCCCGGCUCCAAGCCCCCAGCAGCCCCCGGCCGUGCACAGCCCGGGCUGCCCGCAGAGCCCCAUGGCUCCAUUGUGAGCAAAUGAAUUCUGCCCUGCGCUGAGGAGUAGCCCUGCUCUCAGGAAGGCUUGGCAGCAGCAGUGAGGAAAGCAGCUGCUCCAAGAUACACAGCCCCCUUUUUUUUUUUCUCUCUCUCUUUUGGCUGGUUUUAGCAGCAGAGCGUUCCCAUGUGAUGGACAUGUGAGCAACGGCUCUGCUGGGGGCAUCUCGCUGGGCUGGCGGCCGAAGCUGCUGUCUUCUGUCUGUGUGUCCACAACUUCGCAGCUUUUCCUCCUCCCCUCUGUCAGGUUUUUAGUCUUGUGGUCUCCCUGAAGCAGAUUCGGUCGUUGUGUUGUUAAAGAAUGGUGCCCGGGGGAUGAAUUGUAGCAUGCCCCCUCUCCUGACAAGGAGGGUAUACAGUAAACCCAGUGGUUUUAAUGAUAUAUGUCACUUUCUUAAACUGAAACAACAAAUAAAUACGAUUUUGACUCUGUUUAGAAGCUCCUCUUGGUGGUCUGCCCAGGGGAAAUGGUGGGGUCACACUGAAUGUAGUGCCACACUGCUUCCUGGUUCUCCACUUGUUGCAGAGGCUGCCAGAGCUGAGAGCAGCUGCAGGCUUCAGCUGAGGGCUCUCCCUGCUGCCUCCUGAAGCUCCUGGGCUGGAGGAGCUGUGUGCCUCUGGAUGUCACUGCCCGAGGCCACAGGAAGACCACAGGAAGACCCCGGUCUGGGAGAGUUCACUUCUCACUGCAAAAUUUCCUCCUCAUCUCAGGCGUUAUGGCAUAGAGUUUCUUCUUGCAGAGGCGCCAGUUUUGCAAACAAGCACUAUCCUCACUGCAGUGAAAUUAAUAGGGCGUCUGGGGCAAAGGUAAAACUGAAAUACAUAAGUAAAUGUUUGCAGGAUCAGGACCUUAUUCAGGCAUAAAUCAGGUAUCACCAGCCAACAAUGGAAUUACCUAAGUAUAAAAUCCCAUGUAAGCCAGUAAGAUCAGCUCCAAACCUGCUAUGAAUUUGCUUUUUGUUUCCAUGCCAAGAAUAUAUCACUUCUAACUGCUGCAAUCAGGUCUGGUCCUUUUUAUUUUCUUUUAAGUGCUUUUGGGCACAUUUAUUUCCCGUCAGCAGCAGAUACGCACCGCCUGACCCUCCUUUCCUUGGGCAUGUCCCAGCCUGCUUCGCCCACGCUGAGCUGUCGCUAUCAGGAGGGGUUUUUCUUUCCUUGUCUAUUCUGUUGCUGCAUUCCGUAAACAAAGGGACACUGGUGACGAUCCCAAACUGUUCUUUUUUAUUUGCCUGGGAACGGAGUCAACUAUUUGUUGGGCUUUUGUUGCCAUUUUUUUUUCUUUUCUUUUUAAACUGGUGACCGGUUUAACGUCUCGCCCAUACCUGUGCCAUUGCAGCACUGUGAUGCGGCAGGGCUUGUGAGCAGCUGGCACUGGGCAGGAGGAGGAAGCAGACAAGGCAGCGAGCUGCAGGUGGGAGCAAUCAGAUCAGAACCAAAGCCCACAACAACACCGUCCCAGGGCAGGGACAUUUAGCCUCAAAACGUUGUUGAAAAUGGCCAGGAGGAUCCUCGUUCUGCCCUGCAACAACGGCUACCUAUGGGCUGCAGAGAUGCUCCAGAGAAUGCAAUGUUUGGAUACCACUGGAGAGGCGCUCGGGCUCUGGUAGCAUUUGUUUCCACCCACCUUCUCCAGUUUGCUCCAUGAAAGCCAUCGGCUGCCUCGCACAGACCCGGAGCUCCUUCUGCAUGGAGCUGUGGGACAGUGAUGGGAGGAGGAGGAGGAGGAGCAGGAGCUGGAGCUGGAGCUGGAGCUGGAGCUGGAGCUGGAGCGAGGCUGCUCCCCAGGAGCCUCAGGAGUCGCUUGGGGCUGAAGAGCGAGGAGAAGCUCGUUUGUUAUGCAAAUAUCUGCUUCGGCCUGGCCUGGCAUAGGCAGUGGAAAGCUCUUGAAUUAUUUUAAGCAGAGGACAAAAGUUCUUUCCCUCCCCCUAUCAUCUUGGAUCCUUAUUAAAACAAAACAAAACAGAAA